rnacentral:sRNA from 1 species
UUGCAGCCAUUUCGCCACCCCCACGGCC